CACGUAGGGCGCAAGCGUUGUCCGGAAUUAUUGGGCGUAAAGAGCUCGUAGGCGGUCUGUUACGUCUGCUGUGAAAACCCGGGGCUUAACCCUGGGCUUGCAGUGGAUACGGGCAGACUAGAGGCAGGUAGGGGAGAAUGGAAUUCCCGGUGUAGCGGUGAAAUGCGCAGAUAUCAGGAGGAACACCGGUGGCGAAGGCGGUUCUCUGGGCCUUACCUGACGCUGAGGAGCGAAAGCAUGGGGGAGCAAACAGG
rnacentral:rRNA from 1 species